rnacentral:lncRNA from 1 species
CCUAUGGCAAGUGCAAGGGAAGAGGUCAUUCUCAGUCUGUGGUUCUACCCUUUUCAUGCCCUCUCAGAUUUGCGGCCCACUCACUUGUAAAUUGGCAUAUUCCUGCAGGCUGGAGUGCAAUGGCGCAAUCUUGGCUCACUGCAAUCUCCACCUCCUGGGUUCAAGCAAUUCUCCUGCCUCAGCCACCCAAAUAGCUGGGAUUACAGUUUGAUUCUCACCACAACACACAUUUCACUCUUUGAUUCUCUUUUUUCCCAGUUAGUUGUUGGCUGAAUGAUCAGUCUAUUUAUUUUAUAUAUAUCUAGGCAUCUACAUAUCCAUUCAUAGGACAACAUGAUACAAUCAAAAUAGUUUCUCAUUCAUGAGCCACAUAUUAAGACUUUGGAAUACUAUAAUGGUCAGGUCGACUUUAUGUUCUAGAUAUUUAUGAAAGUUUUCUCUGACUUCUGAUUUAGGCCAUCUUAUCCCUAAGAACUCAGCAUUAGUACAUACAUUUUUAAUCUAAUUUAGAUUUAAUAAGGAUAGCAGGCUAUUUCUGUCUUUAUUGAAUGGAGAAAAAAAAUCAAUGCAGUGUAUUAAGGAUAGCCAAAGAGAGUAUUUGUUUUGGAUAUUAGUUUAGGACCAUAGUUACUAGAUCUCAAACAUAAGAGGCUUCAGUUAAAGGCAAGAGACAAUGGAUAGGAAUUCUGUAUUAAUAAAAAUUGGGAAGCAGUGAAGUCAAUUGAUACACAUAGCUUUCAAAUUGCAUCAUUACAGGUACAACCUGGGCAAAACUUUGUGACUCCUUGUGAAAAGGGUGAAAUGCUUAAAAACCCAGGUUGAUAAAAAUUGCUGAACUUAUCCUAAGACAAACCUUCUUUUAUCUACUUCUUAAAUAUUGGUGAUUCACUGGAUUCCUCUUGAUCAUGGUUUUCUUCAUAUGCUACAUGCUGUUUGGGGGGCAAACUUGACCAUGAGUUCAACUGUUUAUGACAGAGUCAGGCAAUGUGCUGCCUGCCUGCCACUGUACCUCUGGCUUAGGCCCAUGGCAUGUAUUGCUGAUUUGUCCUGGUACUCAUUCCUGCCCAUCCUUGACUUGGCCGCACAGUCCUUCUGAACAUGU